GCAGUGGAAGUGUGGUAGACUUCGGGCGUGAGAUUCGAGUUGGGAAAUGUUAAAUACGAAGAAAAAUAUUAUGAAAAUGCUCCCGGUUCGAUCGUCGGUCCAGAAAUUUGAAACCAGGACAGUUGAACUAAUCUUGGAUCGAUUUAGGCUACUUGGAAGGCCAUGGGAGUAGACUGGGUCGUGGAAGCAAGUUGGGCCAC
rnacentral:lncRNA from 1 species